CCUACGGGUGGCAGCAGUGAGGAAUAUUGGUCAAUGGACGAAAGUCUGAACCAGCCAAGUCGCGUGAAGGAUGAAUGCCCUAUGGGUUGUAAACUUCUUUUAUAAGGGAAUAAAACGCGGCACGUGUGCCUUUUUGCAUGUACUUUAUGAAUAAGGAUCGGCUAACUCCGUGCCAGCAGCCGCGGUAAUACGGAGGAUCCGAGCGUUUUCCGGAUUUAUUGGGGUUAAAGGGAGCGUAGAUGGGUUGUUAAGUCAGUUGUGAAAGGUUGCGGCUCAACCGUAAAAUGGCCAUUGAUACUGGCAGUCUUGAGUACAGGUGAGGUAAGCGGAAUGCGUGGUGUAGCGGUGAAAUGCUUAGAUAUCACGAAGAACCCCGAUUGCGAAGGCAGCUUACUAACCUGUGACUGACAGUGAGGCUCGAAAGUGUGGGUAUCAAACAGGAUUAGAUACCCGAGUAGUC
rnacentral:rRNA from 1 species